rnacentral:misc_RNA from 1 species
UAGGAAGGUCCAAAAUAGUAUACUAGAAAUAAAUUCUAUUCAAAUAGAAAUAUUUAAGAAAAAGAGAAAUAGUAAAGAAAAUAAGAAAUUGUUUUAGAUGUUCUAAUUUAAUAAAAAUAGUAACUUGAAACAAUUUUGAUAAAAUAUUUUUCUAGUAUUAAUUAAGAUAAAAAGAUUUAUACUUUUUAGAAUAAAUUCGAAUUAGUUUAAUAAUAUUUACUAUUAAAUACAGAAUUUGGCUUAA